CUAUGUGUGGAUAGUGUUCAGCACCAAGGAUAGACCUGUUCCUAAGUGUGGAUAGUGUUCAGCACCAAGGACAGACCUGUUCCUAU
rfam:Branchiostoma floridae genomic scaffold BRAFLscaffold_182, whole genome shotgun sequence.